UACAAUUGAACGGCUUACUCAAGGGUGGUCUGGCUCAUCCCCGUUAGAAAGGGGGUGAUGCUUAUGUCAACGUUUCAAGCGAUUUCGCUCAUGCUUUUAUUUGGGAUGUUUAUCCUUGCCCUGUUGACGUAUAUAAACAAAAAAUAGGCCUCCCUUGAGCCUGGUAAGUUCGUAGGGAUUGCCUAUCCUUGUUGCUUCACCUGAUUUAAGCCAGCCCCUUGAAGGGCCUCAUUGUACAUUGCCGGGAUGUUGACGCAUCCUGG
rnacentral:sRNA from 1 species